rnacentral:rRNA from 1 species
CAAUAGCGUAUAUUAAAGUUGUUGCGGUUAAAAAGCUCGUAGUUGGAUUUCUGUCGGUGAAUAUCAGUCCGCCCACAGCGGUAGGUACGUGAUAUUUCACCGGCAUCUUCCUGGGGAAUGUGUCUGCUCUUUAUUGAGUGGUACAUAAGCCAGGACUUUUACUUUGAAGAAAUGAGAGUGUUUCAAGCAGGCAUGCGCCGUGAAUACGUUAGCAUGGGAUAAUAGCAUCGGACCUCGUUCCAAAGCUGUUGGUUUCUUGGACCGAGGUAAGGUGAUAGGAGUUGUUGGGGGCGAUUCGUAUUUGUACUGUCAGAGGUGGAAAUUACUUUGGAGUUUGUUUGAAGAACGGACUACUGCGAAAGACAUCUGCCAAAGAAUGUUC